AUGCGGCAUGCUUUACCAUGCAAGUCGACGGCAGCCGGACUUCGGCCUGGUGGCGAGUGGCGAACGGGUGAGUAAUAUAUCGGAACGUACCCAAGAGUGGGGGAUAACGUAGCGAAAGUUACGCUAAUACCGCAUACGAUCUAAGGAUGAAAGCAGGGGACCGCAAGGCCUUGUGCUCCUGGAGCGGCCGAUAUCUGAUUAGCUAGUUGGUGAGGUAAAGGCUCACCAAGGCCACGAUCAGUAGCUGGUCUGAGAGGACGACCAGCCACACUGGAACUGAGACACGGUCCAGACUCCUACGGGAGGCAGCAGUGGGGAAUUUUGGACAAUGGGCGCAAGCCUGAUCCAGCAAUGCCGCGUGAGUGAAGAAGGCCUUCGGGUUGUAAAGCUCUUUUGUCAGGGAAGAAACGGUAGAGGCUAAUAUCCUUUGCUAAUGACGGUACCUGAAGAAUAAGCACCGGCUAACUACGUGCCAGCAGCCGCGGUAAUACGUAGGGUGCAAGCGUUAAUCGGAAUUACUGGGCGUAAAGCGUGCGCAGGCGGUUUUGUAAGUCUGUCGUGAAAGCCCCGGGCUCAACCUGGGAAUUGCGAUGGAGACUGCAAGGCUUGAAUCUGGCAGAGGGGGGUAGAAUUCCACGUGUAGCAGUGAAAUGCGUAGAGAUGUGGAGGAACACCGAUGGCGAAGGCAGCCCCUUGGGUCAAGAUUGACGCUCAUGCACGAAAGCGUGGGGAGCAAACAGGAUUAGAUACCCUGGUAGUCCACGCCCUAAACGAUGUCUAAUAGUUGUCGGGUUUUAAUUAACUUGGUAACGCAGCUAACGCGUGAAGUAGACCGCCUGGGGAGUACGGUCGCAAGAUUAAAACUCAAAGGAAUUGACGGGGACCCGCACAAGCGGUGGAUGAUGUGGAUUAAUUCGAUGCAACGCGAAAAACCUUACCUACCCUUGACAUGUCAGGAAUCCUGGAGAGAUCCGGGAGUGCCCGAAAGGGAACCUGAACACAGGUGCUGCAUGGCUGUCGUCAGCUCGUGUCGUGAGAUGUUGGGUUAAGUCCCGCAACGAGCGCAACCCUUGUCAUUAGUUGCUACAUUUAGUUGAGCACUCUAAUGAGACUGCCGGUGACAAACCGGAGGAAGGUGGGGAUGACGUCAAGUCCUCAUGGCCCUUAUGGGUAGGGCUUCACACGUCAUACAAUGGUACAUACAGAGGGCCGCCAACCCGCGAGGGGGAGCUAAUCCCAGAAAGUGUAUCGUAGUCCGGAUCGCAGUCUGCAACUCGACUGCGUGAAGUUGGAAUCGCUAGUAAUCGCGGAUCAGCAUGUCGCGGUGAAUACGUUCCCGGGUCUUGUACACACCGCCCGUCACACCAUGGGAGCGGGUUUUACCAGAAGUAGGUAGCUUAACCGCAAGGAGGGCGCUAACCACGUAGGAUUGGG
rnacentral:rRNA from 1 species